AGCAUUUUGAUUUCAAUGGUUUGAUUUAGGAGGAAACAGUUGCAGUGAAUUAUUAAAAUUUACUUUAAGCACCUGAAUAAAUUAAUAUAGAUUUGUUUUGAUAGCAGCAGUUGAAAUUUGGCAGGGACUGUAACGAUAUGCUGAUUUGCUUCUAUAAGAGCUAAUGCUGAUUCAUUUGAGAUCUUCACAAGACCUUUUAUAUAAUCUUUCUUGAGUAUUAUAUUUUUUUCCUCCAAUACAGUAUAGUUUAUUUUAACUAUGAAUGGAUGAUGCAAUUUGAUAAGAACAUAUUCCAUAUGAAGUUGAACCUUGAGGUCAUUUUCCUUAAUUUUUUUUAAAAUUGCUGACAUUAUGUCCAUGUUCUGCUAGGUUCCCUGUUUCUGUUACGACAGAAAGGACAACUGAUGGUUGUGAUGGUGCAUGCCCCCCACAUCCCUUCCUUGUUCUGCACUAUGAUUUCACAAAUGCUCAUUAGGCCUUGGCCUUGACAAAUAGCACUAGAACUAAGCUCCUCUUGAGCCUCUCAGAAACACUGUCAGCUCCCAGCAUCUAGUUCUGUAUAAUGAGCUCCUGUUUUUUGACAAACAGCUUUGGUAACUUAAAUUUCUUGCCUGAGUAACAGCCCAAGUGAAACAACAUUUUUGUUAUUGAACUUUCAAAGAAAGUUUGGAACCCAAAUUGCUGCCAGGAUGGAAUAUUACUAUGUCUGAAUCCAGUGCUCUUGCAACCGUUUGAACAGCAGUUCUAAGUGAGAUGCUCUGAGCUCUCCAGGACCACAGAUUCCAGCAAUUUAUGUUUUUGAGAUGGAGUUUUCUUGAUUCCCAUUGGAACAAAAAGAUUCUGUCAUUAGCGAGAUACUUGUGUGACCUUCAGAGCUGUGUCUCCAAUUUCUUCCUAGCUUCUUGCUGGUCUGUUCAGCCUGCAGUCUUUUGGGACAAUGAUGAGCUACAUAUUUCUCGAGCGCAAAAUAGAAAAAUAAGGUGCUACUCUCAGUUGUAAUACAAAUAUAAUUCUAACACAA